rnacentral:lncRNA from 1 species
GAACAAUUUCCCAAAAGCCAGUGCAAGGUGUAAAGACAACUGAGAAUUGACUGUGUUUGUUGUGGGGCUGUUUCGGUUGCUGUUGAUAAGCUAAUCGAGAAGAGGCUGAAUCCAAAGCCCGAGAAGAAGCAGAGAAACAGCGGAUCGAACGAGAGAAACACUUCCAGAAGGAGGAGCUGGAACGCUUGGAAAGAAAGAAGUGUCUGGAAGAAAUCAUGAAGAGGACUCGUAAGAGUGACGCAGGAGCACAGUAAUACAGAAAAAUCCGUCAGAAGCUCUUCAUACUGGUGCGACAAACCAAUCACCAAUGAGCUCAGUGUCCUGGGACGCAGCACCGGUCAUUAACGGAGCUCCGCCCACUAAGCAUCAGAAUGGACUGUCCUCCAAUGGAGACGCUGCAGACUUUGAGGAGAUAAUCAAGCUGUCCAAUCACAGUGGGAACAGUGGGCAGAGUCAACCGGCUGACCCAAUCAUGGCCUUCGAGGGAGGAGAACCGUUCAUGAUGAAGGCGGGGCCUAUAAAACCUCAACAUGUGGCAGAGGUGCUGUGAGAGAUGAGAUAUCAGAGUCUUCUGGAUAUGAAGAGAAGAAGAGAAGCCUUACUCUACCACCGCUUCCACCCUGAUGUGUGCCAAACCAACAAAAACAGACUGCUUUAACUUUAGAAACACAGCCGAGCCGGACGCGCUCAGGAGAAAGUGCCAGAUGACGACCUUAAAGAGACACUUAUAUACAUAUACAACAUUUGCAAAAAGUCUCUGUCUAUUUCACUGUGUGUGUCAUGGUGCAACAUUUGUUGAGUUUCUUUAACAAGUCACCUGCCGAUCAUGUGGUGCACCUUAAAAGAGUCGCUAUAUAUUGAAUUUUAGAAAAGACAACUUGGCUUAUCUUUAUGAUAUGAAUUAUUGUUGUUGUUGUUGCU